UACGGAAUGUGCAAACGUUAUUCGGAAUCACUGGGCUUAAAGAGUCCGUAGGCGGCAUGUUAGGUGAGGUGUGAAAUCCCCCGGCUCAACCGAGGAAUUGCGCUUCAAACCGGCGUGCUUGAGGAAGAUAGAGGUGGGCGGAACUGAUGGUGGAGCGGUGAAAUGCGUUGAUAUUGGGAGGAACACCAGUGGCGAAGGCGGCUACCUGGACCGGUUCUGACGCUGAUGCGCGAAAGCGUGGGUAGCAAACAGG
rnacentral:rRNA from 1 species